AACGCACAUUGCGCCCUCUGGUAUUCCGGGGGGCACACCUAUUCGAGCGUCAUAUAGACCAUCGAGCCAGGCUCGGUAUUGGGCGGUCGCCGCACCCGCGGGCGCGGUGGUGGCGACGCCUGGAAGCCAUCAGCGACAGCGUCUGGUCUUCGAGCGUGACAGCGGCACAUCCCGAGCGCUUUGGAGGGCCGGCACGACUGGUUGCUGCGUCUGACGCAACAGCAAACAGGUUGACCUCGGAUUAGGUGGGGUUACCCGCUGAACUUAA
rnacentral:misc_RNA from 1 species